rnacentral:rRNA from 1 species
GACGAACGCUGGCGGCGUGCUUAACACAUGCAAGUCGAACGGGCCUUGUCCCCUUUUUUUUUGGGGGUGGGGUUAGUGGCGAACGGGUGAGUAACACGUGAGUAACCUGCCCCUCACUUCUGGAUAACCGCUUGAAAGGGUGGCUAAUACGGGGUGUUCUGGCCUGCUCGCAUGGGUGGGUUUGGAAAGAUUCGACCGGUUUUGGUUGUUUUGGUGGGGGAUGGGCUCGCGGCCUAUCAGCUUGUUGGUGGGGUGAUGGCCUGCCAAGGCUUUGACGGGUAGCCGGCCUGAGAGGGUGGGCGGUCACACUGGGACUGAGACACGGCCCAGACUCCUACGGGAGGCAGCAGUGGGGAAUAGUGCACAAUGGGCGCAAGCCUGAUGCAGCGACGCCGCGUGAGGGAUGGAGGCCUUCGGGUUGUGAACCUCUUUCGCCAGUGAAGAAGGUCCUGCUCUUUGUGGUGGGGUUGACGGUAGCUGGGUUAAUGAAGCGCCGGCUAACUACGUG